GACGGUAGCACAGAGAGCUUGGUCUCGGGUGACGAGUGGCGGACGGGUGAGUAAUGUCUGGGGAUCUGCCCGAUAGAGGGGGAUAACCACUGGAAACGGUGGCUAAUACCGCAUAACGUCGCAAGACCAAAGAGGGGGACCUUCGGGCCUCUCACUAUCGGAUGAACCCAGAUGGGAUUAGCUAGUAGGCGGGGUAAUGGCCCACCUAGGCGACAAUCCCUAGCUGGUCUGAGAGGAUGACCAGCCACACUGGAACUGAGACACGGUCCACACUCCUACGGGAGGCAGCAGUGGGGAAUAUUGCACAAUGGGCGCAAGCCUGAUGCAGCCAUGCCGCGUGUAUGAAGAAGGCCUUCGGGUUGUAAAGUACUUUCAGCGGGGAGGAAAGCGAUGCGGUUAAUAACCGCGUCGAUUGACGUUACCCGCAGAAAAAGCACCGGCUAACUCCGUGCCAGCAGCCGCGGUAAUACAGAGGGUGCAAGCGUUAAUCGGAAUUACUGGGCGUAAAGCGCACGCACGCGGUCUGUUAAGUCAGAUGUGAAAUCCCCGGGCUUAACCUGGGAACUGCAUUUGAAACUGGCAGGCUUGAGUCUUGUAUAGGGGGGUAGAAUUCCAGGUGUAUCGGUGAAAUGCGUAUAGAUCUGGAGGAAUACCGGUGGCGAAAGCGGCCCCCUGGACAAAGACUGACGCUCACGUGCGAAAGCGUGGGGAGCAAACAGGAUUAGAUACCCUGGUAGUCCACGCCGUAAACGAUGUCGACUUGUAGGUUGUUCCCUUGAGGAGUGGCUUCUGGAGCUAACGCGUUAAGUCGACCGCCUGUGGAGUACAGCCGCAAGGUUAAACUCAAAUGAAUUGACGGGGGCCCGCACAAGCGGUGGAGCAUGUGUUUUAAUUCUAUGCACCGCGAAGAACCUUAUCUACUCUUGACAUCCCCGGAAUUUUCAGAGAUGCUUUGUGCCUCUGGAACACUGAAAAAGUGCUGCAUGGUUGUCUCCACCUCUUGUUGUGAAAAGUUGGGUUAUAUCCCCCACCAGCCCCACCCUUAUUCUUUUU
rnacentral:rRNA from 1 species